AAAUCGAUUUCGAUUUCAAAAAUCAAUUUUAAGGCCGAAUCAGUUUUAGCUUAAAACCGAUACAUGUGAGCUGUUUCAUCAAAUCGAUUUUAAGCUAAAAUAGAUUUUUAGGUGUCUGCAAUCAAGGCUAGUCAAUUUGGGGUAAAUCGAUCACAAAAUGGCCUUGCUUAACUACGGUGAGAGUCCUUGAAAAAGUCGGACUAAAAGAUGGAGUGGACCACAAGUCGUAUCCACCAAAUAGACCUUGGCUUUAGUCCAAGACUCAAAAGUUCUCUUCUGCCGUGUCUCUACAGUCUUGGACUUCUCAUUCUUCCUUGGCCUCAGGCUCAAGGAAAGGGUUUGGAUAUACAGAAUGUACUCAAGCUCAAUGUCUAGGUGUACAGCUAUAGAUCCUAAUGUGCUAAGCGGCCUUGUGGAGUGAUCUUCUUACUAGUACAAUUUGCACACCAAUAAUAAAACAAAGGUUGCAAAAUAAAGAGCUAUGGCAUCUGCAUGUACUGCUAGUUCAUGACAAAUGAACAUUUAUUGUCUAUCUCUUCAAAUUGAAAGGACUGCAGAGCCUGAAUUACCUGCAACGUUAUGCUUCUUAUGAAACAUCAGCCAGCCUACAGAUAGAAGCUCCCUUUUCCAGCUUUAAGCAAGAGGAACCACAAUGAGAUACAGAUCUUGGUAUCAUGGACUGGUCACUUUUUACAACCAACACUACUUGUAAAAUAAGAUUUACAAAUUAAUUCCUAUAAGCUAU